UCCUACGGGGGGCAGCAGUAGGGAAUAUUGCUCAAUGGGGGAAACCCUGAAGCAGCAACGCCGCGUGGGUGAAGAAGGUCUUCGGAUCGUAAAACCCUGUUGUUAGAGAAGAAAGUGCGUGAGAGUAACUGUUCACGUUUCGACGGUAUCUAACCAGAAAGCCACGGCUAACUACGUGCCAGCAGCCGCGGUAAUACGUAGGUGGCAAGCGUUAUCCGGAUUUAUUGGGCGUAAAGGGAACGCAGGCGGUCUUUUAAGUCUGAUGUGAAAGCCUUCGGCUUAACCGGAGUAGUGCAUUGGAAACU
rnacentral:rRNA from 1 species